AUUUAGCAGCCAAGCAGAAUGCUUGGAAUGAAGAGACCAUAGCUGUCCACAUGGGUCUCUCUCUUGAAGGCAAGGUGCUUCAGAUCCUUCUUGGUGUGCUUCACAAGUGCAUCCUCCUCCAGUAGGAAAUGCAGUUCCUGGGCAUCGCCAUAGACCCAGGGAAGGAGGCAGCAGUGGAGUAUUGGUCUGUCUCACAGCCACAGACAGAACUGUGUAGCUUCUUGGCAUUUGCUGUCUACUAUCGGUACUUCAUCUGCGGGUUCGCAGGCUUUGCGGCCCUUCUUCACCAGCUGACUCACAACGUUUGCCUGUCUGCUGCAGACAGUUUGUGUGUUUGGCAUCGUAUGUGAAAUUCAGAGAGAGGUGCAGCUUAUUUUUAAAUUCCCAGAGAGAUGCAGUUUACUGUAGGGGAUUCUGUUUGGGAAUAUGUCAGCAGAAUAAGCAAUGGGAAGACUUGAAUGAUCAACAGCCUCCAGUGACCUGAUAUCACCAGUGAUCCUUUCACAUUGAGCUCACAGAUUGAACAUGAAAGUCAAACAUUCUAAGUUACUCUUGUUUUGUAUCCUUUUAAUAGCGAGUAUAUUCACAGUCGUGUUAGACUGUCAGUGCCUCACUACUGCCUUCCCCCUUCACAAUAAAGGGGCAAUUCUACUGA